rnacentral:lncRNA from 1 species
GUGGUGGCCAUGCCUUACCCAGGUAGAGGCCACGUCAACCCCAUGAUGAACCUCUGCAAGUUACUAGCUUCAAGACAAGAUGAUAUCCUCAUCACCUUCGUUCUCACUGAAGAAUGGCUCGAUUUGAUCAGCUCCGAGGAUAAGCCGGAAAACGUACGCUUCGCAACGAUCCCCAAUGUGAUUCCUUCGGAGCAAGUUCGCGCGGCGGACUUCCCCGGCUUCGUCGAAGAUGUCUCGACGAAAAUGGAAGCUCCUUUCGAGCAGCUCCUGGAUCGGCUUGAGCCGCCAGUUACUGCUCUCAUAGCUGAUACUCAUGUAAUGUGCGCCUUCGUCGUCGGGAACCGGAGGAAUAUCCCAGCGGCGUCGUUGUGGCCGAUGUCGGCGACGAUGUUUUCGGUGUUCCACCAUUUUGAUCUGCUCAUUCAAAACCAACAUUACCCAGUUGAUUUGUCAGUUAUUACAAAACGAGAAGGUCUCAAAUCUCAAAUCUCGUUAUAUAGAUUCUCCAUUUACUGAUGAACAAGUGUGGAUGUGACAGAAAGGGGCGAGGAGCGAGUGGGCUACAUUCCUGGAAUUUCUUCAACGCGCAUAUCUGAUCUUCCGACAGUCUUCUCCGGCGACGGCCAGAGAGUCUUGAAUCGGAUUCUGGAAAUGUGCUCUUGGGUGCCUAAAGCGCAGUAUCUUGUGUUCACUUCUGUGUACGAGCUUGAACACGAGGCGUUGGAUGCUUUGAAGCGAAAGUUUUCGUUUCCCGUCUACACACUUGGUCCUACUAUACCUUACUUCAAUCUGGGAGACGAGUCCAAAGUUGCCACCACUCACAGUGACCUUAACUACAUGAAAUGGCUGGAUUCUCAGCCGAAGGCUUCCGUCUUGUACAUCUCACUGGGAAGUUUUCUUUCUGUUUCGAGUGCCCAAAUGGAUGAGAUUGCAGCCGGGUUGCGGAGCAGUGGCGUCCGGUUCUUGUGGGUGGGGCGUGAUAAAGCUUCCCAGUUGCAGGAGGGUUGUGGGGAUGGAGGAUUGGUGGUGCCUUGGUGUGACCAACUGAAGGUGCUGUCCCAUUCUUCUGUAGGGGGGUUUUGGAGUCAUUGCGGGUGGAAUUCAACUCUGGAAGCUGUUUUUGCAGGCGUCCCAAUGCUGACAUUUCCUAUAUUUUGGGACCAAGUCCCCAACAGUAAGAAAAUUGUGGAGGAUUGGAAGAUUGGGUGGAGAGUGAAGAGGGAGGUGGGAUGGCAAAAUUUGGUGACCAGAGAAGAGAUUAGUGGGCUUGUGAAGAGGUUUAUGGAUUUGGAAAGCAUUGAGGUGAAAGAGAUGAGGAAAAGAGCAAAAGACCUUGAGGAGGUAUGUAGAGGAGCAAUAGCAAAAGGUGGUUCAACUGAUACUAAUCUUGAUGCCUUUCUCUCGCACAUUUCACAAUCCCGCCGCCGCUGAUCACACAGCUCUGAAUUUGGCCUUCGGAGGUGAAAUUUUGUUUUCACGUUGAAGGCCACACAAAAAUUUGAUUUCUGUGUGGAUUUUCUCUUCGGUUUCCUCUUGGAAUUAAAAUAAAAUUGCCAUGGAUUAUGGAUUAUGGAUUAUCUUGAGGAAUUUUUUUUAUAUUCUAGAAAAAGGGGAAAUAGGCAAACCCCACCUUAGUAGUCUUAACUCUUACGCAAGGGUUUGGAGUCUGGACGACCCAAUUCAAUUGGGGAAAAGCUGACUAUGCAUGCUGUACUCUAUUGGGCCAAGUUGGUUGUCCCAUGUGGCCCCACUGGACUAUUAUUAUAUUGACUGGCAAUAUUUAGUGGCCAUGUGAAUGAAUGUUUUUGUUGUGGGAUAAUUUUUGGGUGUCAUACUGAAAAGUAGUCACCAAUCAUUGUACCUUAGCCUAUAUUCAAAUCUGUACUUGGAUCAUGAAGUUCUGUAUAUCACCUAUUGGGAGCAGAAGCAUUUUCCUUUGGUCCAUGUUACAUCUUUAGCCUGUGAAAAAAUUGACUUUAACCAUACUAAAUUUUGCUUUGUUAUAAUCAUAAAACACAUGAAAACUUGUUGAAAGGAAAACUAUUGGCAGGCCCCAACCCACAUGAAUUGGGCUUUGUUGGACCUGAAUUUCUCAUCUCAUUGUUUUGGUGGUGAUAUCAAGCCCCACGUUUACAAAUUGGCCCCCAACUUGUGGGCUCGGUCUAGCCCAAAGCUAUUACGCUGAUGAGUUAGGGUAUUUCUCAUGUGCUGUAAAGCUCUCUUCUCGUCACUUUAGGCGACAGUCGAACAAAAUAAGCGAUACCAUCUUUUCCAUAAGUUGAGUUUAUUAAUGAGCAACUUGCAAAAAUUUUAAUUUUCAAUUAAAUUAAGAGAAAAUUAAUAUAAAUGAUUAAAUAUAAUUUUCUAAUAAAAAAUAUAUUUUAUUUUUAUUUUAUAUAAAUACAAAAUUAAAAGUUUUAAUAAAGUAAAAUAUUAGAAUCACAACCAAGUUUUUAUAUAUUUUUUAAAUUAAAAAUAUUAAAAAUUUUAAUUUUAAAAAAUUACAAUUACAUUAAAGUAAUCAUAAGUAAAAAGUUUAAAAAUUAGGAUAAUUGAUUUUAAUUUUCACAUGAAAUUUUUUAUAAAAAAUAUAAGCAAUAAAAUAAUAUAAUAAAUAUAUUUUUAUUUAAUUAGUAUAUGAUAAAUAUUUUAUUUAAUAUGAAUAUAUAAAAUCUUAUGUUUUAAAUUUCCAAAAUUAUUUAUUAUAUAUUAAUGUUUAUUUAUUUAUUAUUAUUAUUUUAUAUUUAAAGUGUAUAUUAAUAAUUAAAAUCAAUAAAUAUGAAAAGAUCAAAUGGUAAACGAGAAUAAAUUUUUUUUAAAAUGUAUUAUUUUCUAGGUAAAAUGAAGAAAGAGGAAAAAUAAUGUCACAUGGUUAGUAAUGUGUGAAACAAGUACGUAUGAUGGAGUUUUUUUUUGACUUAUUAUUUUAAGGUUUUAAAAAAAUAAAAACAUAUGGAAUAGUCGGGUAACAGAGAGAAAAGUAGGAGGAGAAUUUUAAAAUUUGAAUGAUGUUAUAUGUUUAUUGAAUUAUUUUGUAAUAAUUCUAUUUUUGGAUAACGUACCGUUACCAUUACAUGAUUCACCCUUUUAAGUUUGGUUGGAGUGCGAAGAACCGUCAUCACCUUCAUUGUUUACUGGACCCACCUUCGGGAUGUGGGCUUUGUUGGGCUAGAUAUCUCAUUCGGUUAUUCAGCCCAACACUCCACACAUUAAGAGACGUGGUGAAACAGCAGUCUGAAAGCUUUUUCGGCUGGUCUGUGCCGCACAAGUAGCCAUCAAAUGAAGGAAUUCUAUCUGAAAUUGAACUGCGUGGAAACUCAGGAAAAAAGGGAAAAAGAAAGAGCCAUCAAGGUGGUGGCUGCGGGGACUUUUCUUAUUUCAGUGUCUUCCACAGAAGAAGCCUGGUAUGGACUCCGGCGACGGCGAAGCAACCACUGCAUGCCACGUGGUGGCCAUGCCAUACCCAGGUAGAGGCCACGUCAACCCCAUGAUGAACCUCUGCAAGCUACUAGCUUCAAAAAAGGACGAUAUCCUCAUCACCUUCGUUCUCACUGAGGAGUGGCUCGGCUUGCUCGGUUCCGGUGAUAAGCCGGAUCAGGUGCGGUUCGAAACGAUCCCUAAUGUGAUCCCUUCGGAGCGAGUUCGCGCAGCUGACUUCCCUGGCUUCAUCGAAGCCGUGUCAACGAAGAUGGAAGCCCCUUUCGAGCAGCUCCUGGAUCGGCUGGAGCCGCAGGUGACUACUAUUAUAGCCGAUAGUAACCUGCUGUGGCU